rnacentral:rRNA from 1 species
UAACCUAAGAGUUUGAUCCUGGCUCAGAACGAACGCUGGCGGCAUGCCUAACACAUGCAAGUCGAACGCUAUCUUGUAUAGAGUGGCGCACGGGUGAGUAACGCGUGGGAACCUGCCUUUCUCUGCGGGACAACGGUUGGAAACGACCGCUAAUACCGCAUACGCCCUACGGGGGAAAGGUCAGCCGGAGAAAGAGGGGCCCGCGUUAGAUUAGCUAGUUGGUGGGGUAAUGGCCUACCAAGGCGACGAUCUAUAGCUGGUCUGAGAGGAUGAUCAGCCACACUGGGACUGAGACACGGCCCAGACUCCUACGGGAGGCAGCAGUGG